ACACAUGCAGUCGUACGAGAAAGUCGGCUUCGGCCGAUGAGUACAGUGGCGCACGGGUGAGUAACGCGUGGGUAAUCUACCCCUCGGUCAGGAAUAACCCGCCGAAAGGCGGGCUAAUACCCGAUAACACUGACGCUCUGCGGAGUGUCUUUCAAAGAAGGCCUCUGUUUACAAGCUUUCGCCGGAGGAUGAGCCCGCGUACCAUUAGCUAGUUGGCAGGGUAAUGGCCUACCAAGGCAUCGAUGGUUAGCUGGUCUGAGAGGAUGGCCAGCCACACUGGAACUGAGACACGGUCCAGACUCCUACGGGAGGCAGCAGUGAGGAAUCUUGCGCAAUGGGGGAAACCCUGACGCAGCAACGCCGCGUGAGUGAGGAAGGCUUUCGGGUCGUAAAGCUCUGUCAGAUGGGAAGAAAUGGUUGGAGGUGAAUAUCCUCCAUCCUUGACGGUACCAUCAGAGGAAGCACCGGCUAACUCCGUGCCAGCAGCCGCGGUAAUACGGGGGGUGCAAGCGUUGUUCGGAAUCAUUGGGCGUAA
rnacentral:rRNA from 1 species